CCUACGGGAGGCUGCAGUGGGGAAUAUUGCGCAAUGGGCGAAAGCCUGAUGCAGCGACGCCGCGUGAGUGAUGAAGGUCUUCGGAUCGUAAACCUCUGUCAGCAGGGAAGAACGGUCACUGUGCUAAUCAGCAGUGAAUUGACGGUACCUGCACAGGAAGCACCGGCUAACUCCGUGCCAGCAGCCGCGGUAAUACGGAGGGUGCGAGCGUUAAUCGGAAUUACUGGGCGUAAGGCGCACGUAGGCGGUAUGUCAAGUCAAGGGUGAAAUCCCCGCGCUCAACGUGGGAACUGCAUUGGAAACUGGCAAGCUGGAGUGUGGGAGAGGAUAGUGGAAGUCCAGGUGUAGGGGUGAAAUCCGUAGAGAUCUGGAGGAACAUCAGUGGCGAAGGCGACUAUCUGGCACAUAACUGACGCUGAGGAGCGAAAGCGUGGGUAGCAAACAGGAUUAGAUACCCGAGUAGUC
rnacentral:rRNA from 1 species